UUUUUGUUUUUCCUUUUCUCAGAAACAACAACAAAUCCUCAAGUCAGCAGUCCUCGUCAUCUUCUUCUUCUUCCUCUCUAUCAUCAUGUUCUUCUUCAUCUGCACUAGCACAAGAACUGUCUCAGCAAACAGCAGUAAUACCAGAGUCUGAUUCUAAUAGCCAGGUUGACUGGACCUAUGAUCCAAAUGAGCCACGUUACUGCAUUUGUAAUCAGGUGUCCUAUGGUGAAAUGGUAGGCUGUGAUAACCAAGAUUGUCCUAUUGAGUGGUUCCACUAUGGAUGUGUUGGACUGACAGAAGCACCAAAAGGGAAAUGGUACUGUCCACAGUGUACAGCUGCAAUGAAGAGAAGAGGCAGUAGACAUAAAUAAGUUUCUUCAUCUGGAAAACAAAUUGUGUACUAAAGGUUUUAUAGAGGUCUUAGGAGCGGAGGGGGAACUCUCACAACACCUCCUUGCAACCACUGAAGAGUUAACAUGGCAGUCAUAGAAUGGUUGGGACUUAAUGGAAAGGACCGUAAAGAUCAUCUAGUUCCAGCCCCCAGUCAUAAGAUCAUGAAUAUUGGUUUUGCUAGUUGUGUUUUAACAUUCUAAGUAAAUUAUUUACGCACCUUGAUGUGCUACAGAUAAUAUUCCAGUGAGCCUUGGAUUAUUCCAGUGGCCAACAUAUGCAGAGAUUUGUACUAUCAAACCAUUUUCUCUAAGCACUGGGCAUUCUACAAUUAUUUAAUCUUCAAAGAAUUCCAAUAAGUCAAGGUUUUAAAUGUAUGUUUUAUAUACAAGAGAUAUAUUCUGCUGCAUGUACUGUACUCAAGAGCUGUUACGUAACACUAUGUAUAUAAAUGGUGCAAAAAGUCAGUGCUUCUGAAAAGAAAGAGACAAUGUUUUUAAAAUGCCUUUAUAGCUUUGGUUCUUUAUGAAACUUAAUUCAGCAGGCUGAAGAAAAUGGUUCUUGUAUACAGCGGGCUGUUGUCCUUUAGGGUACUCAAGUAUGUAAAAACAAAAAAAAUGCUGUAGAAUAAAACAAACUUGUGCCAUUAGUCUUUAUAUGUUUCUGCUCCAGAGAAGGUGGGGGCCAUAAGAGGAAAAAAAGGUGUUAAAGUGACAAUAAAUUUUUAUACCAAAUGUGUUUAUUUUUUUGUGCAAGUAAUCCUUUAAAUUUGAAUUGUAUUAGGUGUAAAAUAAAACAACCUCAACUCCUCAAA